ensembl:lncRNA
UGACAGUCAUUGAAGAAGUGCUAAAGGCAAUUGGCCUGUGAUAAAGGCAUUGGAGAGGUGGUAAAGGCAUUGGGUCUGUGAUAAAGGCAUUGGAGAGGUGGUAAAGGCAUUGGGUCUGUGAUAAAGGCAUUGGAGAGGUGGUAAAGGCAUUGGGUCUGUGAUAAAGGCAUUGGAGAGGUGGUAAAGGCAUUGUAGAGGUGGUAAAGCCAUUGGGUCUUUGAUAAAGGCAUUGAGAGGUGGUAAAGCCAUUGGAUCUGUGAUAAAGUUAUUGGAGAGGUGGUAAAGCCAUUGGAGAGGUGGUAAAGCCAUUGGGUCUGUGAUAAAGGCAGUGGAGAUGUGGUAAAGCCAUUGGGUCUGUGAUAAAGGCAUGGAGAGCUGUUAAAGGCAGUGGGUCUGUGAUAAAGGCAGUGGAGAGCUGUUAAAGGCAGUGGGUCUGUGAUAAAGGCAGUGGAGAGGUGGUAAAGCCAUUGGGUCUGUGAUAAAGGCAUGGAGAGGUGGUAAAGGCAUUGGGUCUGUGAUAAAGCCAUUGGGUCUGUGAUGAGUGAUAAGUCUGUGUAGGUGUUUAAACAGGUGUUGAUGUGUUGGUGAGGUUUUUAGGCACUGGGCAGUUGUUGAGACUUGGAUUAAGUGUUGUGCCUUCGGGCAGGUGUUGCAGUUUUU